GAUGAACGCUGGCGGCGUGCCUAAUACAUGCCAGUCGAGCGAACGGACGAGAAGCUUGCUUUUCUGAUGUUAGCGGCGGACGGGUGAGUAACACGUGGAUAACCUACCUAUAAGACUGGGAUAACUUCGGGAAACCGGAGCUAAUACCGGAUAAUAUUUUGAACCGCAUGGUUCAAAAGUGAAAGACGGUCUUGCUGUCACUUAUAGAUGGAUCCGCGCUGCAUUAGCUAGUUGGUAAGGUAACGGCUUACCAAGGCAACGAUGCAUAGCCGACCUGAGAGGGUGAUCGACCACACUGGAACUGAGACACGGUCCAGACUCCUACGGGAGGCAGCAGUAGGGAAUCUUCCGCAAUGGGCGAAAGCCUGACGGAGCAACGCCGCGUGAGUGAUGAAGGUCUUCGGAUCGUAAAACUCUGUUAUUAGGGAAGAACAUAUGUGUAAGUAACUGUGCACAUCUUGACGGUACCUAAUCAGAAAGCCACGGCUAACUACGUG
rnacentral:rRNA from 1 species